AAAAAAAAAAGACGGGGAAAAAAAGGAGAGGAAAGGAAGAAAAAGGAGAAGACAAGACAAACUGCAAAAAAGAAAAUGAGUUUGCAAAAGGACGAAUCUGCAAUUUCAACUAAAUUCUAUCAAAAAAAAAUGAAUGAAUAGAAUAUAGAGUAGAGUAGUUAUAAAAAUGGAAAGGAAAGGAAAGGAAAAUCGCGAGUUUCCCAAAAACAAAUGAAUUUCGUUAAAACCAAACGAAAACGUUUGUUAAAGGUAUAGGGAAAGGGAAAGAG